AUUCAUAUAGUUUAAUAGUAAAAACACUUUAUUUUCAUUAAAAAAAAGAUAAAUAUUAUCUAUGAAUA
rnacentral:tRNA from 1 species